CCCCUCUCAAGGUCGCACCUGGAGAGUUUCCAGUACUCUAUCAGUCUCGACUAUGGGAGGGAGAGUCAAGCAGAGGCCUACCCAUUCCAUUCCUAGCUUGGGCAGUGGCUAACGAGUGGAAGGCCAUCUGCUACCAGU
rnacentral:snoRNA from 1 species